GACGGAGGGUGCAAGCGUUGUUCGGAAUUACUGGGCGUAAAGGGCUCGUAGGCUGCCAACUAAGUCGGACGUGAAAUCCCUCGGCUUAACCGGGGAACUGCGUCCGAUACUGGAUGGCUUGAGUUUGGGAGAGGGAUGCGGAAUUCCAGGUGUAGCGGUGAAAUGCGUAGAUAUCUGGAGGAACACCGGUGGCGAAGGCGGCAUCCUGGACCAACACUGACGCUGAUGAGCGAAAGCCAGGGGAGCAAACGGG
rnacentral:rRNA from 1 species